GCUAGCAGCUUAGAACUUUUAAAGGAGGCAAAGGCAGAGGAGAACAAAGGAAGGAGGAAGUAACUGGUGGAAUGCUGAGAAAGCAUUUCAGUGUGCGGCAUCAUCAUGCAAGCUCUGUAAGAGGAGAGUAAGAUCAGUACUCCUACUUGUAAAUGAAAGAGAAGAAAACAAAAACAAGCAAAUUCCUUCUAAGGUGUGAGGAACACGAGUAAACAGAGAAAUCACCUAAGGAGAAAACAGGAAGCAGAUUUGAAACUGUGGCCACCAACGACACGAGGGAGCGCAAAACCCAGCCCACUUGCCAGGGAGGCUGGCAGAGCCCACACCCAGUCUGGUGCCCUGGUCGGUUACAUUCUGCUCUCCCUGCAGCAUUUUUAGAAGGUACCAAAUAAGAAAAACGUGGAUGAAGAUGGAGAAAGCAUACAAAACUUUUACACACUGGUUUGAAGCUGUCACCGCGCGGAACAUAAAGAACAGGCCAAGACCAGUGCAGGCAUCGACGACUUUCUCCAUUCAGAGCCUCCGCGCAUCCCAAAUAAAUAAACACAUCAAAACGUGCAAA
rnacentral:lncRNA from 1 species